rnacentral:rRNA from 1 species
GAUGAACGCUGGCGGCGUGCCUAAUACAUGCAAGUCGAGCGAACAGACGAGGAGCUUGCUCCUCUGACGUUAGCGGCGGACGGGUGAGUAACAUGUGGAUAACCUACCUAUAAGACUGGGAUAACUUCGGGAAACCGGAGCUAAUACCGGAUAAUAUAUUGAACCGCAUGGUUCAAUAGUGAAAGACGGUUUUGCUGUCACUUAUAGAUGGAUCCGCGCCGCAUUAGCUAGUUGGUAAGGUAACGGCUUACCAAGGCAACGAUGCGUAGCCGACCUGAGAGGGUGAUCGGCCACACUGGAACUGAGACACGGUCCAGACUCCUACGGGAGGCAGCAGUAGGGAAUCUUCCGCAAUGGGCGAAAGCCUGACGGAGCAACGCCGCGUGAGUGAUGAAGGUCUUCGGAUCGUAAAACUCUGUUAUUAGGGAAGAACAAAUGUGUAAGUAACUGUGCACAUCUUGACGGUACCUAAUCAGAAAGCCACGGCUAACUACGUG